CUUCCAAAAAUUGACGGGCAAGCCCACCUAAGUAGGGCGAAACUUGCUCGCCUCAAAUAAGGUGUUCGUGAUGUUAGGUGUCGGCACGACCCGCCGUCUCAAAACGAUCAUUAACGAGUCGCCUUUCACCCCUGACAGGACGAGUUAUUUUAUGUACAACCCGUCGCUUGCUUAUUUAUAGGAAUACUCUGGGCCUUCCCCUUCUUAGCUUUCGCGAUGUGGGACUCCAAUUCCCAUCCUCUUUCUUUCUGUUUGUAUUGGUUCACACAAAAGUCUACGUGCUGAGCCGGAGACUGGGAGCGGGUACGGUUGAGGGAGAUGAUCUCAGUGGAGAUCUAUCGGAGUCGACCAGUUCGUAUAAAAGGAGAAUCGCUCGCAGGCCACAGCUCAGGCCCCGGCAACUGUCUCAGAAGGCUCCUCACAUGGGAGAUGAAAUGAAUAGUCAUGAACGGAUUGUUGCACAUCUCGUGAGGCUUAUUCAUAGAGAGGGUAAAUUGAUAGGGACUAUAGACUAUAGUCAACCACUGAGCUAAAAAGCAGAGAGGACUUUUCAGAAAAAUAGCAAUUUUCAAAGAAGCAGUUUCCGGUGUUUUUAGAGUCUGCCGGUUUCUCACAGGAAGAUGUCCUCCUUCACAAGCCCAAGGCAGGGCUUUUGAAGCCCGCUUUCACAAUUAUAGGAGAUAAAGAUUCAAAAUGUUUUUCUGUUGAUUCGUGGUACUCAUAGCAUUGAAGAUACACUAACAGCAGCAACUGGUGCAGUGGUCCCCUUCCACCACUCGGUUUUACUUGAUGGAGGGAUAAGCAAUUUGGUUUUAGGAUAUGCCCAUUGUGGAAUGGUUGCUGCUGCUCGUUGGAUAGCAAAGCUUAGCACUCCUUUUCUGCUCAAAGCUCAUGAUGAAUAUCCCGACUACAAUGUUCAGAUUGUUGGCCAUUCGCUUGGUGGUGGUACUGCUGCACUUUUGACAUAUAUUCUUCGAGAGCAGAAAGAAUUCUCCUCAAGCACUUGUGUCACAUUUGCCCCAGGCAUGUGCUGAUCAAGUGUGAUGCUUAUGUUCUGUUUUCUAUUACUACCAAUAUGUGUGUAACUUUAUUUCAUGGGCUUUUUAAGGACUUCAUAAAUUUUCAUAGAAGGAUAGAGGAUUAAUAGCGUUUGCAACUGGUUUUCUACGACUACGAAUAAGUCGUACUUGUUGAUUAUUUUUAUUCAAGUCAGAAUUAUGUGGAC